CUACAGCAUUCUGCUAAUUACUUAACUAUUUGAAGAAAAUAAACAGCCAAAAGUUGAAGGGCACUGGCCACAAAGACGAGCGUGAAACCUUUAAUGCAAGAUCAACUCAAAGUGAGGACAAGGAUAAAACUCGGUGCAGGCAAAGAAAGAAUCCAGUCACCUAAGUAUAAAUGUAGAUGUUUGUUUACAAUGGGGUUUUUUUUGUGUCUUUUUUAAAAAAAACAAUACCGAACAAACAUCACAAACACCAAGGAACGCAUCAUGAAAGUGGUGAGGCUGGGACAGGAGAGCAUUCGUCCAAGAAGCAGCCAACAGGCCCAAUGUACCAGCUGCGGUGAUCUGGUUGGACUUCUACACCAACUCUAAACCUGCAGCCGGAGCUACGAAUGGAACGGAGUAGAUCAAGGGGUAUUUGUAGGCCGGUCCAGACACAAAAGUCUGUGUGAAAAACAUUAACAUUUACAUGUAUGUGAAUUCUUCCAAAGAUUUACAAACGUUUGCUGCAGCAACACCAGUAGAGGGCAGCAUCAACACACUGUUUAUUUACUACUUGGGGUUCCUGCUGUUCAGUUUAUGUUUAUUUUUUUAUUUGAAGAGUGGGACAAGGAAAAAAAAAAUGGACAUCACACUACGUACUGGAGAUGUGGACGCAUUUUAUUCUCCAUCUGUCAGAGAUGUAGCAUUGAAAAGCUAAUGUCGGCAAGAAGUGGAGUGGGCUCAUUCAAAUACAUUUACCCCAAUCGCCACAUGCUGUUUGCUUAAGUUUCAGUCUCUUUGAAAAGGAUUUUGUGGUUGCUGCCAAAAACUCCCAAGGUAGAGCGCGGAUAAGCAUUUAUUCCACACGGUAAUAAGAGUGGAAUUCCAACUUUCCUGGAAAGCCGAUUUUGAGCUGAAAGUUGUUUUGAGGAUUACUGUAAAAGGUGUGAUUACCCCUCCCCCCACCCCCGACUCUGGCUGGUUUACAGUGGUUCAAAACAACUAAAAUAGAGCUUCGUCACAUCUGACUUGGUAAAUUACACAGCUUAUCACCUUAUUCCUAAAGGGCUGAUGGUGAUGAACGGAUACACGUCUACCAUCCAUCCUCUCAUGCAUGUAUUUUUCCAUCCAUCCAUCCAUCCAUCCAUCCUGUUUCACCCAUUCAAACAUUUUGGUUGUCCUUGUGCUCAUAAAUAGAAAAGUUUGGAUUGACGCAGAAAAAAAAAAAACACUUAGCAAGGGCUUCACAACUUGCCUCUCACUUUCAAAUUCAAAUCAUUCUUUCAAAAGCUGCAUCAUCAAAUGGUUUCCAACAAAGUGGUCCUUGUUAAGAAGGUGUUAUGUGGCAGAAAAGUAGGAUAUGAAAUUUACAACCCAGGCUUUAAUGCCGUCAUUACACCAAGAAGAAGAAGAAACUCCCAAAGUCUGCAUUAAAAGCAGGUUUCUAAAUGAA